CCAGUAUCAGGUUCUCUCGGUUUGGUGGGUCGGACAGUCCUAUUUUCUCUUACCUUUUUAGAUGACUUCUAUGUUAGACGCGUUAAGCGAGAUCUGGGCGGACCACCCUGUAUUUUGACAGGGCACCUUGAUCGUGUGCCAGGCUAGCUUAGUGCGGGUAGGCAGUUAGGACAGGAAAGGGGUGGAACGUCUUCUUUUGAUUUCUUUGAUUUGGUUCCGUCCAGCCCCUUCCCUAACAUUGACCGUUGAGUAAAGCCCUUUUUGAUUUCACUUGACAUUUUGCCUCAGUGUCCUUGCUCGCACCUACGACUCCAAGCCCUCUUUACUGUCCACUGGUUGUCAUUGAGCAGCGGGCUGUCGGUUUCCACCCUCGGGAGGCGUACAUAACAGGUGGGGGCUCGUCCGGGAUCCGCGCCCGCUGCUCUAGCAACAAAUCAGUGGCUGGCGUCUUUGGUGUGGAGUAGGGACUGGCUACGUGGUCUCUCUGGCUAGGGCUGUUUUGGUUCAAGUGUGUUUGUGUGUUCUGUGGUUGCGUCUUGUCUUGUAGUCCGGUUGCGUGGUUGCGCUCGGAAUGGCCGAGUCUGCGGUCGCUCCUUUCAUCCGAGGCCCCUUCUCAGGAGUUGCUGGUGGGGUUGUUCAAGGUGGACUUCAAACUUGUGUUGAAGCUCGAAGAGUGUGUUUUAGCAGAUUGCUAUGGAUUUGUGGAAUGACCAUACUUGCUCCGUCCAAAAGAGCUAGGCGUGUGCCUUCAGACUGAAGAUCACGUCUCUGUAAACCGAGAUAACGACACCAUGCCUGACAGCCGUACCUGCUCUGUGCCUAGCCUCUGAUGUCCCUGCCAGCCCCUGUUCCACCCAAGCCUGUGACCCGACUAUCCUUUGGAUUUGCCUGCCUUGCUCCGUUUGCCUGUUGACGACCUGUGCCUGCUUGACUACUCUGUAGUACCAUUAAAAGCCCUCACUUGGAUCGCU